GACGAACGCUGGCGGCGUGCCUAAUACAUGCAAGUAGAACGCUGAAGAGAGGAGCUCGCUCUUCUUGGAUGAGUUGCGAACGGGUGAGUAACGCGUAGGUAACCUGCCUUGUAGCGGGGGAUAACUAUUGGAAACGAUAGCUAAUACCGCAUAACAAUGGAUGACACAUGUCAUUUAUUUGAAAGGGGCAAUUGCUCCACUACAAGAUGGACCUGCGUUGUAUUAGCUAGUAGGUGAGGUAACGGCUCACCUAGGCGACGAUACAUAGCCGACCUGAGAGGGUGAUCGGCCACACUGGGACUGAGACACGGCCCAGACUCCUACGGGAGGCAGCAGUAGGGAAUCUUCGGCAAUGGGGGCAACCCUGACCGAGCAACGCCGCGUGAGUGAAGAAGGUUUUCGGAUCGUAAAGCUCUGUUGUAAGUCAAGAACGAGUGUGAGAGUGGAAAGUUCACACUGUGACGGUAGCUUACCAGAAAGGGACGGCUAACUACGUG
rnacentral:rRNA from 1 species